UACGUAGGGUGCAAGCGUUGUCCGGAAUUACUGGGCGUAAAGCGUGCGCAGGCGGCUUUGCAAGUCAGAUGUGAAAUCCCCGGGCUUAACCUGGGAACUGCAUUUGUGACUGCAUGGCUAGAGUGCGGCAGAGGGGGAUGGAAUUCCGCGUGUAGCAGUGAAAUGCGUAGAUAUGCGGAGGAACACCGAUGGCGAAGGCGAUCCCCUGGGCCUGCACUGACGCUCAUGCACGAAAGCGUGGGGAGCAAACAGG
rnacentral:rRNA from 1 species